CAACAUUUCAAUAUCGCCGUUCUAACGUGCAAAGGCACAUACUGUGGUCGUUCCCUUAUCAAUUCAAGGAAACAGGUGGAUUAAUGCCAACAUGAAUUUUAUCAUUUCAAAUUCUUCCAGAUCAUUGUACUGUGUUGUUAUUGUGCCGUGUUCUUUUUGUGAAUAGCCUACACAAUGGCUAAAAAGUUACUGACUAUGGAGGACAUAUUGAGUGAGGAAUGCCUAUGUGGCGUUUGUAAGGGAUAUUUGUCGAUACCCCCGAUUGUUUAUUCGAUAAAACUCGGUGUAUACGUUUGUGGGCGUUGUUACGAUGAAGAAAUGUACAGUACCGACAUCGUUAUACGACAGGAUGAGUACGAGAAAACAGCAUCCACCUUCUUAUUCCCCUGCUCUAAUGACGACUGCGACCAGAGGGUGGGAUUUGGGGAACACGCGAAAUUUCACGAGAAAAUCUGCAUAUUCGACCAGAUAAAAUGCCCGAUAUCGAAUUUUUUCCGGGGUUUCCUGAAACCGAAGGAAAUCCCUUGCUUCUUCCGCUGCAGGGAGGAGUCGCAGAUGAUAGAGCACAUCAGGAUCAACCACUCUGACUACAUCUUACCAGCGCCCCAAAUGAUCCGGUCCUCCGAUGUCCUGAUGGACUCCGCGAAUCGUCGAAUGUACAUCACGAUUUUCAUCAACGAAUAUCAGUAUAAAAUGGCGGUUUUGACGAGGGAGAAGACCUCGAGAAGGAUGAUACUCAAAUGUAGAACAAUCAUGGACGAACAUCAGUAUUGCAUGGUGGGUAUACAGCCUCCGAUAAACGAUGCGAUACAAUGUUUCUCCUGCGUUCCAUUGGACAGACCACGAUACGAAAGAGAUGAUGAUGACGAGAUUUACUCAAUAAAAUUUUCACACUUCAAGAAGGAGACAACUUUGAGUUUCAAAAUAGAAGAGACAGAAAUUUCGUUGAUGGGGGAAGAUCAGGAAAUCCUGAUGGAUGCUAUUAGAAGUUUGGCACGUUAUUGAACGAUAUUUACAGAAGAUGACGAAUAAUUUUCUACAAUUUUCAAAUCAAUAGAUUAUACAAACAGGAUCAACCUUGGUGCUGCUAAAAGGAAAUUCAAUCUGACAUCGGAGGCUAAAUAUCCAAUAAAAACGAAGGAAGAAUUUGUGGAAUUCAACAAUCGCAAAUCAAUCAUGACUGGAAAUAAAUUUAUUUAUUAAUAAAAUCAAAUUUAUUGGUUAUAAUAAAUUUGUUACUCAAAAUAAAAUUUAUUUCAUAGAAUAAAUGAAAAAUUUGAAUUAUUUCAGUUCCAUUUUGUAUUCCUCAACUCAUCGAAAUUCUCGAUCAGAUUAAUUUCAAGUUCCUUGAAUCAAAAUUCAGUAACUAAUCGUAAAUGAGCGAUACGAAGUCUUGAUCAAAAGGUAUUACAUUAUAAGAGAAUAACAAAAUUAUCUCAAAAAAUUCUGGUAUACAGGAACUAUUUGCCCGACGAGGCUCAAAUUCUGCCAGAACCUUCAAACCUCGAAUUUAGGACAAAGUCCAGCUUUCAAAUUGAUCGGAUUCAUGGAAAUUUUGGGAUUUUUUUCCUAGAUGAUAGUCGAGCAAUGUUGGGCGGGUUCACUACCUGGAUGGACAACCGCCCUUGUAUGAAUUUCAAUAAGCGCUGACUUCACCGUCGAUGCUUUUCUCUUUUCAUUUGAAAAUAUAUCUGGAUAUAUUCGUGAUUUCACAAGAAUCGAUCGAGUUUAUUAUCGACAAAAUUUAUUAUUGAAAGCAAAUUUUGAAGAAAAUCAUGAGAAUAUACUGAGAACACGAAUCGGCAUUACGCCUGUGUAUAAAACUAACAACCAUCUGUGUGAAGUUUGUAGCGUUUUUUUUAAACUAAAUUUCUCGAUAAUUACCAUACGUUCAGAUAAUUUCGUCCAGUUCUCCAACGAUCCUGCAGAAGACCUGUUGAAGCUCCCAUCAGAAUCAGUGAAAUUUCAAAUACGCAGACAUGUUAUCUUGGACCGUAUCAACAACUGAAUCGAAUAAGUCUGAAAAUACCGAUUUGAAGUGUGGCUUGUGCAAAAAAGAUUUGUGUGUACCACCAGUACAAUGUUGUGAUUCGAAGAGGUUCAUGUGCGGAGUUUGUUACGAUUCCCGCUUGUAUUACCCGGACGCACAACGGGAAAAAUUGGACAAGGUGAUACCCCAAAAAUUAUACGACUUAUACGUCGAAUCUCAGUUUUUCCCUUGUGGCUAUAAUAAUUGUUCGCAACUCACAAAUUUCGGACAAGCGUGCUUCGAACACAUGAAAUAUUGUCCACACCGAAGUUUUUCAUGUCCAGUGUCAGAUAUCAAUAAAUAUUACGCACCACUAGAUUACAACAGGUGUGAUUUUGAAAGCACAGACACAGUGGAGCUGUAUUCGCAUAUUGAAAAAUCGCAUCCGGACCUGAUCGUGAAGAAUAAAAUCAAUUCGAAGGAAUUUUGGAGACGUCCCCAUGGUCUUUUCGUUCUGGAAGACAAAGCGGGCGUCAUCUCCGUCAUCUACAUAGACAAAGUAAUACCGAAUUCUUUGCGGAUUUCUUGCAGGCAAAUCAGAUCCCGCGUAUCCGAUAAAUGCGUGAUCGAAGUGAACAUGGGUAGGAAAAAAGAGAAAUACGUUAUCAAUUGUAGCGAAUAUCUUGGAGCUCUCAAGAAAAAAGGGCAAAAAUUGUUGAAAUAUGUCACGGUGGAUGACAACCCGAUUUAUUUCUCAAUUGUGCCUGAAAAGGAAGAUGUCACGAAUGUAACUAGCGACACUGAAGACUAUUUGCCCCCAUUAGGAAACAAUGAAAUGGAGAAUCGCGAGGUGAACGAGGACUGGAUGGUUCUCAGGGAUGAUGAAUUAGAAGAAGUUUAAAAGGCAUACCUAACAAGUCAGAAUUAUCAACCCCUCAAAGCCCCUGCAGAAAAUAUUCAAGUAUAGCACCAGAGUAAGAAGUAUGCCAAAUUGUUUCAAUAUUUAUCUUAGUUUGUCAAUUUAUUGGGAGAUUUUAUGUGUUCAUCAUUGUCAUUUACAUUUAUCUUAUAAGUAUUACAUUUUCUCGAUUUUGAUUCCUAUUCUUUAGACUGUAGAUUAAAUUUUAUCAACUCAUUUUUGUUUGUUCAGAAGCAAAAAUUAAUAGUUUAAUCCAGAAUGUUAGCUCAUAUUCCUAUCAAGCAAGGAAUAAGUAGUGAAUUACUAAUCAAAAAAGUCCGAAUACUUCUGAUAUAAACCUUUAUGUUUCAUAUAAUAUUUACUUGUACCUUUUGUUAACAUUAUUUACUGGAUAAACGUUUGAAGUCAAAA